UCAUUGCGAGUUAUACAACUCAUCAACCCUGUGAACAUACCUAUAACGUUGCCUCGGCGGGAACAGACGGCCCCGUAACACGGGCCGCCCCCGCCAGAGGACCCCCUAACUCUGUUUCUAUAAUGUUUCUUCUGAGUAAACAAGCAAAUAAAUUAAAACUUUCAACAACGGAUCUCUUGGCUCUGGCAUCGAUGAAGAACGCAGCGAAAUGCGAUAAGUAAUGUGAAUUGCAGAAUUCAGUGAAUCAUCGAAUCUUUGAACGCACAUUGCGCCCGCCAGUAUUCUGGCGGGCAUGCCUGUUCGAGCGUCAUUACAACCCUCAGGCCCCCGGGCCUGGCGUUGGGGAUCGGCGGAAGCCCCCUGCGGGCACAACGCCGUCCCCCAAAUACAGUGGCGGUCCCGCCGCAGCUUCCAUUGCGUAGUAGCUAACACCUCGCAACUGGAGAGCGGCGCGGCCACGCCGUAAAACACCCAACUUCUGAAUGUUGACCUCGAAUC
rnacentral:rRNA from 1 species